GAUGAACGCUGGCGGCGUGCCUAAUACAUGCAAGUCGAGCGAACAGACGAGGAGCUUGCUCCUCUGACGUUAGCGGCGGACGGGUGAGUAACACGUGGAUAACCUACCUAUAAUACUGGGAUAACUUCGGGAAACCGGAGCUAAUACCGGAUAAUAUAUUGAACCGCAUGGUUCAAUAGUUAAAGACGGUUUUGCUUUCACUUAUAGAUGGAUCCUCGCCGCAUUAGCUAGUUGGUAAGGUAACGGCUUACCAAGGCAACGAUGCGUAGCCGACCUGAGAGGGUGAUCGGCCAAACUGGAACUGAGACACGGACCAGACUCCUACGGGAGGCAGCAGAAGGGAAUAUUCCGCAAUGGGCGAAAGCCUGACGGAGCAAAGCCGAGUGAGUGAUGAAGGUCUGCGGAUCGUAAAACUCUGUUAUGAGGGAAGAACAAAUGUGUAAGUAACUAUGCACGUCUUGACGGUACCUAAUCAGAAAGCCACGGCUAACUACGUG
rnacentral:rRNA from 1 species